rnacentral:misc_RNA from 1 species
GAUGAAGAACGCAGCGAAAUGCGAUAAGUAAUGUGAAUUGCAGAAUUCAGUGAAUCAUCGAAUCUUUGAACGCACAUUGCGCCCGCCAGCACUCUGGCGGGCAUGCCUGUUCGAGCGUCAUUUGUACCUUCAAGCUCUGCUUGGUGUUGGGUGUUUGUCUCGCCUCUGCGUGUAGACUCGCCUCAAAACAAUUGGCAGCCGGCGUAUUGAUUUCGGAGCGCAGUACAUCUCGCGCUUUGCACUCAUAACGACGACGUCCAAAAGUACAUUUUUACACUCUUGACCUCGGAUCAGGUAGGGAUACCCGCUGAACUUAAGCAUAUCAAUAAGCGGAGGA